UUUUUUUUUUUUUUUUUUUUUUUUUUUUGGAGAAGGACAUGGAUGUUAAAGUGCUCUGGGCUGGGAAAAGAAAAGUCCAAACAGAUUGAUUGUUGAAUUCUUAGAUGACAGAAGUGGAGAGAGGGGCUUGCAGUCCCUUGUGAUGGGAAGUGCUGUGAACAUAGAGAAGGCCUUGCCAGGCCUCUCAAGGCUGUAUGUAUUUUUCGGGAGACCAAAACCAGAUACCAGAAGAAAGUUUUUCAAAAUCAGGCAUAAACCAAGACCUUGUCUAGAUAUUUUUAGUUUGUUGCCAAGGUAGCACUGAGAAAUCUCACUUGAAUGUUACAUAAGGGGUGAGACACAAUAGUGAAGAAAGUUACCUGGGGCUGUGAGUGUUCGGGUCGUUUGCUGCUGCUGUUGCUACUGUUUGCCUCAAACGCUGUGUUUAAACAACGUUAAAACUUCUUAGCCUACCAAGGCGGCUGUAUGUACAUAGCUGUUGAUACUCCCAAUUAAUGAUGUCUGACAUGCUAUUUUUGUAGGGAGAAGAUACCUGCUAAUGAUAUUUUUAGUUAAAAUAUCUUUUGGGGCGGACUUGGUGAAAUGUUUGCACUUUGGUUACAUGCUUUUACUGCUUGGUGCAAGCUUACGCUGUCUUAAAUUAUUAAACAAAUAAAAAUAUUAUCUGCAAGAAAAACCAGCUGGUUUAGACAAGUUUAGUAUGUAAAGAUAAGCUAGAAACUAUCUUUAUAUUCUAGUAUUUUCAGCACUCCAUAUUACCUAAAUAUUGCCACACUAUUUUGUGAUUUAAAAGUUCUUACUAAGGAAUAAAAUGUUUAUAUAUGAUAUGCGAUGGUCUAAUAAUUAAACGAUACUGGGUACCCAAUGAGUUUUCAGAGACUGCUGUGUACAAGGACCUGAGCUCAUCUGCGUACUUGGACGCUUUCCGUUUGGUUUUGGUUUUAAUAUAUUUAAUCACUGGUUUCUCCAGGGAGACUCCUGGUUUGGGCCUUGGGUCCCCACUUCUCCCAGUCUAUCUUAAUGAAAACCACAGAAGGAAUAGUCUAGCACUCGCUGGAAGGUCGUUCAUUGUAGACCCAGUUUGCUAAUGUUUUUUUAUGAUUUACCUGGUUUGGGUCUGUGACCCCAGAUACCCUCUCUUGUGUGGUCUGCUGUUUCUCUUCUGCCCAGGUCUGAAACACACUAGGGGGAGAGAUGUUUCAUUCAUGCAAAUAUUUUGCCUUCUUAACUUUUACAAAGUAGCCCUGGUAUUGGGAGUUUGCCUUGGAGUUCAGGAAACAAUUUUAGGCUUUUCUCAAGCUUAAGAUCAUACCUGUGCUUGGAGACAAAGGGCUGUCCACUUUCUUUGGGUAGUGGUGUUGAACCCCUGACUUAAGGUGUAUGAGUGACAGUUUCUAAGAAACUGUAAGGGAAGCACUCCCUCUGCUGACUGUGACAAGCUGACUGUGACAAGGCAUGGUAAACCGGAAGCCACAGCUCAUACAUCUGCUAGGUCAGUCCCCUGAACUCUGUAAGGGAAGAAAGUCAGGCAAGGUCACAGAGGCACUGGCCAGAGCAUGACUAGGCCCAGCAUCUCCCUCUACUUGAGGACUUCAGCUUUCUGGGCCAAGGAUGCUGGUUUUGAUGGGCUAAAGCUCCUGAAACUGAACAAACCAACCACGGGGGCAAAGGAAACAAAAUUCAGCUAAUGCUGUCAGCUAGAGGCUCUGUAGAGCCUUGAUAAUGUCAGUCACGAGAAAGAUGGCUUGCCCUAAAUUUAAAAUUACAUAAAAAAACAGCAUUUUAAGUAUUGUGAGCUACAUCUUGUUGCCAUUAUUGUCACGACUGAAAAGAAGAUGCAACAGUUGACAUUUGCAUGGUUUUGUAACAUGUAAUAGAAGCUUUCUUUUUUACUUUGGCCAGGUUUAUAGGUUGCUUAUUCAGUCUGAAGUUAUAAAUAGUAACAUGAUAAAAUUACGAAGUUAGGGCAGAAAAUAAAAAUAGUAGUUUCCGUAUUACAUCUCAUGUGAUCUCGUGUGUUUCUAGGGAUGGUACUCAGGACUUUGGACAAUCUGGGCCAGAGUGCUACCACUGGCCUGGGCCCUCAGCCUCUGGAAGCUAUUAUUUGAGUCAGUGGUUGAUUUUAAUGAAUUAACAGCUGAGUCAGAACCCACUAAGGAGGUAGAAGAUUUGAAACAUCAGCUGAACUUAGUACAUCAUGUGAUCUUCCAACUUAACAACUACGAAUCUUUAUUCAAUAAUGCAGUUAGUAUUCAUUAAUUUUGCAUCGAUAGACUUAGGGAACUUUGUGUUGAAUUUAUAAAUGUUCUUACUAACCAGCUAAAAUUUACAUUUUCAAGGUGUUGGAAACCACAGCUGUGAAACUCUACCUGGCAUUCUAGUCCCAUGGUUGUGGAAGUCCUUUGACUUCACGCUGUUACUGGCUUAAGAGACCAAGAGAUUUGCGAUUCCUAGCCUGUGGUGAGUGACCUUAGCCUGGUGACCAUAGCCUGGUGACCUUAGCCUGGUCCUUUUCUGUCACUGGUCAGUCAAGUGUUUGUCCUCUCCAUAGGAGGUGACUGCUUGAGACCUUGGGAAGACAGGGCUGGACAAGCAGACCUUAAAGGCUUUUUAUUUCAGGAUGAGCAGAGUGAUUUAAGACUCCUUAUGUGAAGAUAUAAGCCUCCUCAUGUGAAAGAGGCAUUUUUUUUUUGUCUCAGCAAGCACAUCUCUUACUAAAAACUCUUUUCUUCAUCUGUUGACCCUUUAUUCCAAUAUAUUAAGUCCCUCUACCAACUAUUCUCUUGUUAAUUUAAGCAAGUUCUAAAUAGAUUUAUAAUAUGCUCACUCCUACCUCAAGUGCCAGCUUUUCAUGAGUGAAUUUGGUGGAGAAUUGAGAGAAAAAUCUCAUUUUCUAGGGACGGGGGAUUGCACUGCAAAUGUGCUAGUCUCAGAGUUCCGUGUCUGCCUUAAAAUCAUAUUUCUGGUACGAUUGGAACAAACUCUAAACAAAUACAAAACUGUACUUUAAAAAGAGUUGGUAUUUUAAAACUCUGAGUCUUGAGACACUCCCGUAAACAGCAGACGCUUCUAAGUUAAUGUAUUAUUUUUCUUUUCUUUUCUUUGGAAAAAAAUAGUGGAACGCACACUAAAGUUUAUUGUAUCUAUCCUGUGGGAUGUUCUAGGAGCUACCCUAUGCAUAUGCAAUGUUUCUAACGAUCUAGGGAUGGGAGCAUCAAUGUAACACGAUGUGUUUUUGUGUGUGCAGUGUUUGCACUUGGGCCGGCCCAUCCGGAGCAGUUGUGUCAGAUGAUUUAUACUGAGUCGGUUUCACAAUGAAGCGCUGGCUGGCCUGGAACUCCUCUAUCGACCACAUGCCUCUCUCUCUCCUGAGUGUUGAGAUGAGAGGCGCCACCACACCUGGCUACAUCUGUUUUUUCAGGGUUUCAGCCUUUCCCUAGCCAGUCUGCUAACUGUCACUUCUCAGUGGUCAGAGAGAGGCCUCCAACACAUACCUGGUUUGGUGCCUGUUUACUGUGGGCACGGACAGAACCACACCCAUUUUCACACGUGUCUAAAAUGGGAGAAAAUAGGUUCAGACAGAGGCCCCAAAGGCCCUGCUGUAAGCAAAUCAUGUAUGCUUACAUUCUCAGGGAUGGUUUCUUCCACAAGCUAUCUCUAUUUUCUAAAACUUCUAGAUUCUCAGCAGAGUUCCCCAUCAGAUUAUUUGAUAUCUACAAGUGCUUUCCAUUAUUAUGUAAAAAUAAAAGCCGGGUGCUAAUGGUUUCGGAGGAUAGCAGUAAGAAUAACAUUCUCUUGAAC
rnacentral:lncRNA from 1 species